ACUUUUGAGAUCAGAGCGGCAGAAAAAUAUCG
rnacentral:sRNA from 1 species